ensembl:misc_RNA 7SK 7SK RNA
GGAUGUGAGGGUGAUCUGGCUGUGACAUCUGUCACUCCAUUGAUUGCCAGGGUUGAUUCAGUUGAUCUGGCUGGCUAGGCAGGUGUCCCCUUCCUCCCUCACUGCUCCAUGUGCAUCCCUUUGGAAGCUGUGCGCUCAGUGGAAGAGGACGACCUUCCCUGAUAGAGGAGGACUAUUCUUCAGUCAAGGGUAUACGAGUAGCUGCACUCCUCUGCUAGAACGUCCAAACAAGCUUACAAGAAAGCAAGCACUUGAAAAAGUUCUCUAUCUAGACCAGCGGUUCUCAACCUGUGGGUUGCAACCCCUUUGU